AAACAAAGUCAUAUUUGCCCUGUAACCUAUAAAAUGUAUUCAAUAAGUUAAUAUAUUUAGUAUUGAAAUUAAAUUUUUCAAAAGAAGCAAUUUCACAUUAAAGAAAACACCAAAUUUAAAAAAAGAUGUCUACAGAAAAGUUGUUUACCACUCAGAUUAAUGGAAAUCCAUCUAAAUUAAAGAUAUGUUGGUGUGAUAAUUAUUUUCAACUAACGAUUCUUGAAGCAGAUAGUGCCUGGACUGCUAUGAUCCCAAAAGAUAAGUUACCUGAAAUUGCUAUACAAUUAGACCAAGAUUGUGAAUCUUACAAUAAGGCUCUGUAUUCAUAUUUAUUUAAUCCUGAAGAUUCUACAAACAUUUCAUUUGCAGUACAGAAUAAAUCAUUUAUUAUUCAUAAACAGAUUGAGGUAAAGGUCAACAUGGUAUAAUAUAUUUUAGAAGGAGUACCAUAACUGUGCUGAAGAACUUCUUGAUGAAUUAUUAACUAAAAACUCAUUCUAUGAAAAUCAAAUUUCUUCUUUGCAGCAACUUCUUGAAAAGGAAAUUAAAGAAAGAACUAGUAUUUCUGAAAAAUAUGAGGAAUUUCAAAAAGAUAUUGAAAAUAAGGAAAAAACACUUUACAGCUCUUUUGUUCUUUUAUUAAAUGAGAAAAAGAAAAGAAUUCAAUAUUUAACAGAAUUAUUGGACAGUAACAGAAACAGUGAUUUAUCGGUUAAUGAUAAUAAAGUUGUAAGUAAAAAGGAAAAAGAAAAUGAAGGUGAUAGUGACCUAGGUGACAACGUUAUAAGGAAAAAAAAGACUAAUUCUAAAAAAGAAACUAUUUCUGAUUCAGAAAGUAAUGAUUCUGCCCAAAACUCCUCCAAGGAAAGUGCUUAUGAUACUGAUGAAGAAAAAGAUAACAAGAUUAAAUCACUACACAAAUCCAGCAGCAUUCAUGAGCCAAGUUCAUCUAAAAAUGAUGUGGUAUCCCUUUUUCAGGAUUACUCUCAUACAGUUGUAUUACCUCCAAAGAGAAGAAAAAA
rnacentral:misc_RNA from 1 species